rnacentral:rRNA from 1 species
AUGCACAUGAAGAUGGUCAAGCCCCCAAGUCCACGGAAGAAGAGAACCAACGGAAGAAGGCGAGGACAGCUUCCAGGCACCGGACAUCCGGCCCCUGGAGAUCUUCCCCACAGCCAGGAGUCUGCAGCAGAAGCUACAGGGCCCGGACAUCCGGCGUCCAGCCCGGACAUCCAGCCCCCCGCCCCGGGAAUCCGGCCACCAGCCCGGACAUCCGAACACGCCAUCCAGGGAGCACAGAAGGCUGACCCGACAGCCCGAACGUCCGGCCGUCACCCCGGACAUCCGGCUCCUCCCGAAGACCCGGACAUCCGGCCCCUCCGCCCGGACAUCCGGCCCCGUCUAUCCAGAGAGCACCAAGGCCGACUCCGACAGCCCGGACAUCCGGCCCCCUCCUGCCUGCGUGCAGCGCCUCCGGGCCGAGACCCAUGUAUCCCUUCGCCCCUUAGACUAUAUAUACUCCCUCUCCACCUACGUUUUAGGGUCAGCGUUGAUUUAGCUCAUUUGUGA